rnacentral:rRNA from 1 species
UACGAAGGGGGCUAGCGUUGUUCGGAAUCACUGGGCGUAAAGGGCGCGUAGGCGGCCGAUCAAGUCGGGGGUGAAAGCCUGUGGCUCAACCACAGAAUUGCCUUCGAUGCUGUUUGGCUUGAGACCGGAAGAGGUUAGUGGAACUGCGAGUGUAGAGGUGAAAUUCGUAGAUAUUCGCAAGAACACCAGUGGCGAAGGCGGCUCACUGGCCCGGUACUGACGCUGAGGUGCGAAAGCGUGGGGAGCAAACAGG